rnacentral:snoRNA from 1 species
UAAGGCCUAUGAUGGAAUAUUAUAAUAUGCCUACAUUGUCUGAACAUUUUUAACUUGAUUGAGCAAAUAUUAACUGAGGCCUUA